GUUGAAUUCUUGAUAAUUUCAUAACAUUCUCUUUAUAUCUGAAAGAUAAAAAUAAAGACAGUAAUGUAGCAGGAAGAGUUACAGACAAAACCCCUCAGACACCGAGUUAAAGAAGGAAGGGUUUUAUUCGGCUGGGAGCAUCGGCAAGACUCCUCUCUCAAGAGCUGAACUCCCUGAGUGAGCAAUUCCUGUCCCUUUUAAGGGCUCACAACUCUAAGGGGGUCUGCGUGAGAGGGUCAUGAUCGAUUGAGCAAGCAGUGGGUACAUAACUGGGGGCUGCAUGCACCAGUAAUCAGAAUGGAACAGAACAGGACAGGGAUUUUUACAAUGCUUUUCCAUACAAUGUCUGGAAUCUAUAGAUAACAUAACUGGUUAGGUCAGGGGUCGAUCUUUAACUAUCAGGCACAGGGUGUGGCACUGGGCUGUCUGCUUGUGGAUUUCAUUUCUGCCUUUUAGUUUUUACUUCUUUCUUUGGAGGCAGAAAUUGGGCAUAAGACGAUAUGAAGCAUGGUCUCCUCCCUAAUACUGAAAGUAAGUUAAUUUGCCUGUCCAUAUCAAGUUUACGAAAGGCUUUUAAAGGGCCAAAUAAUUCAAAAUAAAUGUCAAAGAAUUGACAUCGAAUUUGUGUAUUUUAAUUUGAGUCAUCAUAGAAAGUUUGGCUUUUAAAUUGGACUUCUCUCAUUGAGAAAUAUUUUUAAAGUAGAAAUUGAAUGUUAGCUGAGAAAGUUAAUUUUUUUUGAAGCAGAGAAAAUAUAAGGCAUUUUUAAUUUGUUUUUAAUUGUUUAAGUUUUUGAGGGUACAUAUUAAGUGUAUAUAUUUAUGGGGUAUAUGAGAUGUUUUGAUACAAUAUGAAAUAAUCACAUCAUGGAAAAUAGGAUAUUCAUCCCUUAUGCAUUUAUCCUUUGUAUUAUGAACAAUCUAAUUACACUCUUAGUUCUCAAACAGACAUACGGAGAACAUGCUCAACAUCAUGAGCCCUUUUAAGUGCUAUGAGAAAGAUCGUGAAAAUGCAAUAUGAGAAUUAUCAUCUCUAAGUUCCGAAAAAGUAAUUGUGUCAUGGUGAGUGACGUGCCUCAUAGCUAGUCACUUUGCUUCUACAUUACUCUUUUGUCUCCUACUCUUUCCCACCCUGUAGCCAGAAUGAUUUUUUCAAUUAAAGUCAGUUUAAAGCACUCCCCUGAUUAAGACUUUUGCCUGGCUUCUCAUUAUUUUUAGAAUAAAAUCCAACUCUGUUAUUUGGUCUACAGAACCCUACAUUUUUAGACACGGGCAAACUCUUUUCCUAACACUUUUCCCCUGCACACUGUCUUCUAGAUUGGCCUUCUAUUUUACUUUAAGCUCCCAAAGGUGUUCUCAUCUUAGUACCUUACACAUUUUUUUCCCCUCUCUCCCGCUCUUGGAGUACUCUCUCUUGCUACAACCCAAGGAAUGCUUCUCUCCCUUCUUGUGGCUUCCUUCUAAUGUUACCUCUAAGAGAGGCUUUUACUGGCCACAUUAUGAUGGAACCACUAGGAUUUUCUCUAUUUUCUGUGCUUAUUUUGCUAUUUGAGUCCUAGAAUUUUAAAAUGCAUUAUAUAUCUCAUAAAAUAAACAUUUAAAUAUUAAAUACAAAAGAUAAAUAUUCAUACACUAAGUGAAUAGUUCAAAAAUGUAAGAUCAUCUUGAACAUUAUCUUGAGGUGAAGAUAUCGAUUUACCUACUGUUCAGAUUGUGGUAUAGGAUAUCACAACCUGCCUAGAAUAACUCUCUUUUUCUGAACCAUUUAGUCACCACUUUUGUCCACCAACUAAGGAUUAGCCUGACUUCGAAUAGCAUACAUUAGUUUGCUUGUUUAUGUAAUUGAAUUAUAUAAUACGUACUCAUUAGUGUCUUUUUUUAAUGUAGCAGUUGUUGGGUAAUUCCAUUGCUGUGUAGUAUUCUGUUGAUUGAUAAAGCACAGAUUAUGUCUUCAUUUUAUGAUUAAUAGAUAUUUGGGUUGCUAACAAUUUUUGGACAAUAUUGAUAAUUCUGUCAUAAAUAUUCUUCUAUAUGGUAUUAGAUUUAUUUAUACAUAUCUGUUGGGUAUAUAACUGGGAGUAGAAUUGUUGAGAUAAAAGUGGAGACAUAGUUGUGAUUCACCUCUUGAUCUCUAAAAUUUAAAGAUAUGUUAGUUAUAGUUUUUAUAACCUCCCUUACUUCCACUAUGGCUGGAUCAUAUAGUCUUUAUGAUAUUGAACCUUAUUAUAUGUACUAAAUCUUGAUUUAUUGCCCACCACAUAUCACUUCAGAUAACUAUUCGACAUGCUCUAGGAAAAUGUGUCUUCAAGUUGAUAUAUAUGAUACAUAUAUGUUUAUUGUGUGUGUAUGUAUGUGCGUUUGUAUCAUUUUACAUUAUAAGAUUCCAUUUGUUAAUUGUGUUCUUCAAAUGUUUUAUGUCUUUACUAAUUACUUGCUCUUUUCUAAAGUCUGUUUAGAUUGAGUGAAAGUAUUUGUAUAAUCAUAUUUAAAUCUACCAAUUUGCUUUAUAUAUUUUUUUUCUAUUUGUCCAAGCUGGUUUGUGUUCUUUUUCAAUUAUUUCCUAUCUUCUUUAAAGGUAUUUUUAUCAUUCAUUAUCCUUCUUUUUUUGUGAUAAAGUAUUUUUCAAGUAUUCCUUUAGAUGAUACCCUGCUUAUAUAAAAAAACAUUAUUGAUAGUAGCUAUAAAUGCUGAAUUGAUGGUAGCUGGACUCCACAAGGAAUUUUGCACAUUGAUAUCUUUGGGUUUGAAAAAAUCAAUUAUUAAAAAUUUAACUUAAAAUUAUAUUUUUUGUGCUUCAAAGACCAACAUCAAAAAGUAAAAUUUAGUGCACCCAGAGUGGGACAAAAUAUUUACAAGUUAUAUAUCUGACAUGACCCAUAAUAUAUAAAUAGUUCUUAAACUUAAUAAUAAGACAAAUAGCAAAGUUUAAAAAUGUUCCAAGGAUUGGAUAGACUGUUUUCAAAGAAGAUAUAUGAAUGAUCAGUAGGCACGUAUGAAGAUUCUCAACACCUUUAGCCGUAAUGAAAAUGCAAUCCAAGACCAGGAUGAGAGAUCAUUUUACACCCACUAAGAAGGCUGUAACAAAAAGUCAGGGAAUAACAGGUUUGGCAAAAGUAUGGAGGAAUUGGAACCAUGUUGUACUGCUGGUGGUAGUCAUGAAUGAAACAAGUACUUUGGAAGACAGUUUAGCAGUUCUUCAUAAACAUACAGUUCCCACAUGAAGCAGCAAUUCCACUUAUAGUAUCAACCCUAAAGAAAGGAAAACAUGUUUAUGCAAAAACAUGUGUAGCAAUCUUCCUAAUAGCCACAAUUGAAAACAAUCAAAAGGCCAAUGAACUGAUAAGUGAACAACUAAAAUAUGACAUAUCUUUACUAAAAAAUAUUAAACUGCUAUAAAAAGAAAUGAAGUAUUAAAACACACAACAACAUGAAUGAAACUAAAACCAGAAAAAAAAAACAACAAAAAAUUAGCCUAGGUGAAAUGUCAUUUCACAACACCCUAAACUGUAUGAUUCCAUUCAUAUGAAAUAUCUAAAGAGAAUAAUCUAUAGAGAAAGGAAACAAAUUAGUUAGACCAGGGCUAAGCGGUCAUAGGAAGUGACUUCUGUGUCAUUGCAGUUUCUUUUGUGUUGAUAAAAAUGUUCUAAAAUUAUGUAAUAGUGAUGGCUUCAUGGCUCUGUAAACAUACUAAAUAUAUUUGGAUUUUAUAACAUAAACAGGGGGGUUUUAUGCUAUCAAAAUUAAAUCUCAUUUUCAAGUCUGUUACAAUAAUGAUAAUAAUAAAAGUUAAUUUUUCAGCAAGAAAAUGGUUAUACUCUGAGGUGUUUUAGAUAUCUAAUUAAAAUAUUUUAUUAUAUUAUUUCAGGUUUAUUCUUCCUUUCUUCUAUGGAUUAAUUAUGUCAAAUUUUUAAGAAAUGUAUUUUUUGUAUUAUCUAUAUCCUUUUAAAAUUAUUUUUGUGUAGAAAAUUGUUUCACUAACUGGCUAUUCUUUAGAUGUAUGUGUUUCAAAUUCAAUUUUUAAAUAACUUAUAAAAAUAAAAGCAGAUUUCAGAUUGGUUAAAUCAUUUAAAUUCUUUCAAAAUUAGUCUCUUAUAAAAAGGAUGAAACUCACACUCACUAUUGACAAGAGAAGCUAUCUGUAAAUACCACCUAGUGAAAAAUAUUGUUCUACUCACGAAGGAUCAUUAAUUACUCUCUUCAAUGCAUUCAGCAA
rnacentral:lncRNA from 10 species